AAUGGGUGUUAUUGUUUUGAAAAGAGGAGAGUGGUCAAGCAGUGCAGAUAACCUUUGAGUGAUAAAUUAUGAGCGAUUUUUUUCUGUUUAAAAUCAACAAUCCUUGAUUAAGGAGAACAGUAGCGCUUUGUUGCCUUAACGAUAUAAAUGAGUUUAAACUGGCAAACUAAUGGAAUUUCCGAUGGGUUUUAUGACAGUGCGAAGCAUAAACGAUCCAAGUAAAUGAGUACAAAAUUGGCUGAAACUGCAACAUCCUCUCUUUUCAGGCGCGCCUUGCGAGCUUCCAACGCCUCGGACAAUAUUUUCACCAAAUAACAGAAAAUGAAAAUGCCAAUAAUUAGCAAUGGAAAGAAAUCGAAUGUUUCCAUUUCUGCUUGUCGUUCAGGUGCCAACUGCACUGCCAAACUGUACAGUAACAGAUAAAUAAAAAUUGCCAUAAAGCGAUAAGAUAAUUCUGUUCAUGUGCAUAAUUAAACUGACUGAGAUUGUA